rnacentral:rRNA from 1 species
GGUUAAGCGACUAAGCGUACACGGUGGAUGCCCUGGCAGUCAGAGGCGAUGAAGGACGUGCUAAUCUGCGAUAAGCGUCGGUAAGGUGAUAUGAACCGUUAUAACCGGCGAUUUCCGAAUGGGGAAACCCAGUGUGUUUCGACACACUAUCAUUAACUGAAUCCAUAGGUUAAUGAGGCGAACCGGGGAACUGAAACAUCUAAGUACCCCGAGGAAAAGAAAUCAACCGAGAUUCCCCCAGUAGCGGCGAGCGAACGGGGAGGAGCCCAGAGCCUGAAUCAGUGUGUGUGUUAGUGGAAGCGUCUGGAAAGGCGCGCGAUACAGGGUGACAGCCCCGUACACAAAAAUGCACAUACUGUGAGCUCGAUGAGUAGGGCGGGACACGUGGUAUCCUGUCUGAAUAUGGGGGACCAUCCUCCAAGGCUAAAUACUCCUGACUGACCGAUAGUGAACCAGUACCGUGAGGGAAAGGCGAAAAGAACCCCGGCGAGGGGAGUGAAAAAGAACCUGAAACCGUGUACGUACAAGCAGUGGGAGCCUCUUUUAUGGGGUGACUGCGUACCUUUUGUAUAAUGGGUCAGCGACUUAUAUUCUGUAGCAAGGUUAACCGAAUAGGGGAGCCGAAGGGAAACCGAGUCUUAACUGGGCGUUAAGUUGCAGGGUAUAGACCCGAAACCCGGUGAUCUAGCCAUGGGCAGGUUGAAGGUUGGGUAACACUAACUGGAGGACCGAACCGACUAAUGUUGAAAAAUUAGCGGAUGACUUGUGGCUGGGGGUGAAAGGCCAAUCAAACCGGGAGAUAGCUGGUUCUCCCCGAAAGCUAUUUAGGUAGCGCCUCGUGAAUUCAUCUCCGGGGGUAGAGCACUGUUUCGGCAAGGGGGUCAUCCCGACUUACCAACCCGAUGCAAACUGCGAAUACCGGAGAAUGUUAUCACGGGAGACACACGGCGGGUGCUAACGUCCGUCGUGAAGAGGGAAACAACCCAGACCGCCAGCUAAGGUCCCAAAGUCAUGGUUAAGUGGGAAACGAUGUGGGAAGGCCCAGACAGCCAGGAUGUUGGCUUAGAAGCAGCCAUCAUUUAAAGAAAGCGUAAUAGCUCACUGGUCGAGUCGGCCUGCGCGGAAGAUGUAACGGGGCUAAACCAUGCACCGAAGCUGCGGCAGCGACGCUUAUGCGUUGUUGGGUAGGGGAGCGUUCUGUAAGCCUGCGAAGGUGUGCUGUGAGGCAUGCUGGAGGUAUCAGAAGUGCGAAUGCUGACAUAAGUAACGAUAAAGCGGGUGAAAAGCCCGCUCGCCGGAAGACCAAGGGUUCCUGUCCAACGUUAAUCGGGGCAGGGUGAGUCGACCCCUAAGGCGAGGCCGAAAGGCGUAGUCGAUGGGAAACAGGUUAAUAUUCCUGUACUUGGUGUUACUGCGAAGGGGGACGGAGAAGGCUAUGUUGGUCGGGCGACGGUUGUCCCGGUUUAAGCGUGUAGGCUGGUUUUCCAGGCAAAUCCGGAAAACCAAGGCUGAGGCGUGAUGACGAGGCACUACGGUGCUGAAGCGACAAAUGCCCUGCUUCCAGGAAAAGCCUCUAAGCAUCAGGUAACAUCAAAUCGUACCCCAAACCGACACAGGUGGUCAGGUAGAGAAUACCAAGGCGCUUGAGAGAACUCGGGUGAAGGAACUAGGCAAAAUGGUGCCGUAACUUCGGGAGAAGGCACGCUGAUAUGUAGGUGAAGCGACUUGCUCGUGGAGCUGAAAUCAGUCGAAGAUACCAGCUGGCUGCAACUGUUUAUUAAAAACACAGCACUGUGCAAACACGAAAGUGGACGUAUACGGUGUGACGCCUGCCCGGUGCCGGAAGGUUAAUUGAUGGGGUUAGCGGUAACGCGAAGCUCUUGAUCGAAGCCCCGGUAAACGGCGGUACGUAACUAUAACGGUCCUAAGGUAGCGAAAUUCCUUGUCGGGUAAGUUCCGACCUGCACGAAUGGCGUAAUGAUGGCCAGGCUGUCUCCACCCGAGACUCAGUGAAAUUGAACUCGCUGUGAAGAUGCAGUGUACCCGCGGCAAGACGGAAAGACCCCGUGAACCUUUACUAUAGCUUGACACUGAACAUUGAGCCUUGAUGUGUAGGAUAGGUGGGAGGCUUUGAAGUGUGGACGCCAGUCUGCAUGGAGCCGACCUUGAAAUACCACCCUUUAAUGUUUGAUGUUCUAACGUUGGCCCGUAAUCCGGGUUGCGGACAGUGUCUGGUGGGUAGUUUGACUGGGGCGGUCUCCUCCUAAAGAGUAACGGAGGAGCACGAAGGUUGGCUAAUCCUGGUCGGACAUCAGGAGGUUAGUGCAAUGGCAUAAGCCAGCUUGACUGCGAGCGUGACGGCGCGAGCAGGUGCGAAAGCAGGUCAUAGUGAUCCGGUGGUUCUGAAUGGAAGGGCCAUCGCUCAACGGAUAAAAGGUACUCCGGGGAUAACAGGCUGAUACCGCCCAAGAGUUCAUAUCGACGGCGGUGUUUGGCACCUCGAUGUCGGCUCAUCACAUCCUGGGGCUGAAGUAGGUCCCAAGGGUAUGGCUGUUCGCCAUUUAAAGUGGUACGCGAGCUGGGUUUAGAACGUCGUGAGACAGUUCGGUCCCUAUCUGCCGUGGGCGCUGGAGAACUGAGGGGGCUGCUCCUAGUACGAGAGGACCGGAGUGGACGCAUCACUGGUGUUCGGGUUGUCAUGCCAAUGGCACUGCCCGGUAGCUAAAUGCGGAAGAGAUAAGUGCUGAAAGCAUCUAAGCACGAAACUUGCCCCGAGAUGAGUUCUCCCUGAGACUUUAAGUCUCCUGAAGGAACGUUGAAGACGACGACGUUGAUAGGCCGGGUGUGUAAGCGCAGCGAUGCGUUGAGCUAACCGGUACUAAUGAACCGUGAGGCUUAACCUU